rnacentral:rRNA from 1 species
AUUGAACGCUGGCGGCAGGCCUAACACAUGCAAGUCGAACGAGUGGCGGACGGGUGAGUAAUGUAUGGGAAACUGCCCGAUGGCGGGGGAUAACUACUGGAAACGGUAGCUAAUACCGCAUACCCUCAGAUGUGCCCAGAUGGGAUUAGCUUGUUGGUGGGGUAACGGCUCACCAAGGCGACGAUCCCUAGCUGGUCUGAGAGGAUGACCAGCCACACUGGAACUGAGACACGGCCCAGACUCCUACGGGAGGCAGCAGUGGGUAAUAUUGCACAAUGGGCGCAAGCCUGAUGCAGCCAUGCCGCGUGUAUGAAGAAGGCCUUCGGGUUGUAAAGUACUUUCAGCGGGGAGGCGGUACCCGCAGAAUAAGCACCGGCUAACUCCGUGCCAGCAGCCGCGGUAAUUC